UCGAGAGUGUCUUCUGAUGAAUGUGGUC
rnacentral:piRNA from 1 species